rnacentral:rRNA from 1 species
AUGCUUCUACCUUUUGGAAAAGGAGUUACUUGGGCCUCUAAUGCUGUUAGGUAUGGUUAUGGGUGGUCUCUAGGUAAUGGUGAACAAAUUAGCUUUUGGGAAGACUGCUGGUUUGGUUCUUCCUCUCUCUCAAUUCAGUUUUGGGACCUUUACUAUAUCUGUAUGGAGCAGGGAAAAAUCAUUAGGCAGGUUUGGGAUGGUGAGACUCUAAAACUCACAUUCAGGGUCCUCCCCCCUAUACUAAUGGACUCAUGGUAUGAGCUAGAAGCAAUUGCAAAAAGUAUUGUGUUCACUAGGAUGGAGAGAAAGGAGUAG